GCUAAAAUUCUAGCCCCAUCUUCCCUAAUGAAACUACAAAAUUUUAAUUUUUUAGAUUAAAACAUUCUAACAGUCCAGUAAAGGCGAUUGAAAAACUAACCGGAGCAAUAUAUACAGUACCGCAAGGGAAAAAUGAAAUAUAGUGAAAUAUCUUUAAGCACAAAAAAGUAGAGACUUUCCCUCGUACCUUUUGCAUCAUGGUUUAACUAGUCCAACCAAGCAAAAAGACUUUUAGUUUGACCUCCCGAAACUAAGCGAGCUACUUCAAGGCAGCUUAUUGAGCCAACCCGUCCCUGUUGCAAAAGAGUGGGAAGACCUUCAAGUAGAGGUGACAGACCUAACGAGCUUAGUGAUAGCUGGUUACUCAAGAAAAAGAUUUAGUCUAACCUAAAAUCUACUUAUUAAUAAAAAAUAAAAAUUUGAUUUUAGAGCCAUUCAAAUAAGGUACAGCCUAUUUGAAACAGGACACAACCUCGACUAAUGGGUAAAUUAAUGACUCUACACAAUCAAGUAGGCCCAAGAGCAGCCACCUUUAAAAUAGCGUCAAAGCUUUAUUGUGUUAACAUUUAAUUUCCGCAAUUCUCACUAACCCUUUAUUUGUAUUGAGUAAUUCUAUACCACUUAUAGAAUUUUUUAUGUUGAAACUAGUAACAAGAAGAAGACCUUCUCUUAAAUGCAAGUAUAAAUCAGUAAGGACAUACCACUGAUAAUUAACACCUGUGAACAAAAAGUAGCAACUCUACAAGAAAAUUCUACUUAUUUUUUAUGUUAAUCUAACACAAGAGCAUUACAAGAAAGAUUGAAAGAAAAAGAAGGAACUCGGCAAAUAUUAACCUCGCCUGUUUACCAAAAACAUCGCCUCUUGUAAAACAUAAGAGGUCCAGCCUGCCCAGUGACUCUGUUCAACGGCCGCGGUAUCCUAACCGUGCGAAGGUAGCGUAAUCACUUGUUCUUUAAAUGAGGACUAGUAUGAAUGGCACCACGAGGGUUAUACUGUCUCCUUUUUCCAAUCAGUGAAACUAAUCUCCUCGUGAAGAAGCGAGGAUAAAUUUAUAAGACGAGAAGACCCUAUGGAGCUUUAAACAAAAUAACAAUUGCUAACCUACUUUACCCUUCCAGAAGACUAAACUUUACCUUAGCACUCUGAUUAUUAGUUUUAGGUUGGGGUGACCGCGGAGUAAAAAUUAACCUCCACAUUGAAUGGAACUUUAUCCUAAACAAAAAGCUACAACUUUAUGUAUCAGUAAACUGACAUCAAUUGACCCAAUAUUUUGAUCAACGAACCAAGUUACCCUAGGGAUAACAGCGCAAUCCACUUCAAGAGCUCUUAUCGACAAGUGGGUUUACGACCUCGAUGUUGGAUCAGGGUACCCCAGUGGUGCAGCCGCUACUAAAGGUUCGUUUGUUCAACGAUUAAAACCCU
rnacentral:rRNA from 1 species